rnacentral:rRNA from 1 species
UACAGAGGUCUCAAGCGUUGUUCGGAUUCAUUGGGCGUAAAGGGUGCGUAGGUGGCGCUGUAAGUCGGGUGUGAAAUUUCGGAGCUUAACUCCGAAACUGCAUUCGAUACUGCGGUGCUUGAGGACUGGAGAGGAGACUGGAAUUCCUGGUGUAGCGGUGAAAUGCGCAGAUAUCAGGAGGAACACCGGUGGCGAAGGCGGGUCUCUGGGCCGUAACUGACGCUGAGGAGCGAAAGCGUGGGGAGCGAACAGG